rnacentral:rRNA from 1 species
AGCAGUCGCCGCGGUAAUACGUAGGGUGCAAGCGUUAAUCGGAAUUACUGGGCGUAAAGCGUGCGCAGGCGGUUAUAUAAGACAGAUGUGAAAUCCCCGGGCUCAACCUGGGAACUGCAUUUGUGACUGUAUAGCUAGAGUACGGCAGAGGGGGAUGGAAUUCCGCGUGUAGCAGUGAAAUGCGUAGAUAUGCGGAGGAACACCGAUGGCGAAGGCAAUCCCCUGGGCCUGUACUGACGCUCAUGCACGAAAGCGUGGGGAGCAAACAGGAUUAGAUACCCCUGUUCCCUGUCUCUUAUACAC